rnacentral:lncRNA from 1 species
CAAUACGGUAUCUUCUAAGCAGUGAUGAACUAGCCACCAUAAGUGAGAAUACUAUUUUUCAUGCAUUAAUGUAUUGGAUCGAACAACAUGGGCUUCGCAAUCUCUUGGAAAGUCAAAAAAUUCCAUCCCUGUUGUCUGUUGUGAGAUUUCAAUUGAUUCCUAUUGAUUAUCUGUACAAUAUUGUACAGCACAAUGCUGUUGCCAAGAAGCUACCAGAUUUCAAUGACCAUUACUUAAGAGGGAUCAGUUAUCAUGCUCUACCAGAUUUCAUGAAGGAACAGCUACCGCGUCAACCAGUGAAAAGGAAAGCUAGUAGAGUGUCAUUCAUUCCUUACACAUGGGUGAUACCGAGAGAAGAUUUGGAUGAGUUGGUCGGAACUGACGAAUCACUCGAAUCAGAUGAAUUUUGGUACUGUGGUUAUAGAGUGGUCCUAGUAAUUCAGCAUGUUGUCUGCAAGGCCAUGUCUUUUACGAAAUACAAAAAAUCAGUUUACAAUGCCACACUUUCCUUAACAAUUACUGACUUAAUUGAACAGAG